CUCAGAUUGAACGCUGGCGGCAGGCCUAACACAUGCAAGUCGAGCGGUAGCACAGAGAGCUUGCUCUCGGGUGACGAGCGGCGGACGGGUGAGUAAUGUCUGGGAAACUGCCUGAUGGAGGGGGAUAACUACUGGAAACGGUAGCUAAUACCGCAUAACGUCGCAAGACCAAAGUGGGGGACCUUCGGGCCUCAUGCCAUCAGAUGUGCCCAGAUGGGAUUAGCUAGUAGGUGGGGUAACGGCUCACCUAGGCGACGAUCCCUAGCUGGUCUGAGAGGAUGACCAGCCACACUGGAACUGAGACACGGUCCAGACUCCUACGGGAGGCAGCAGUGGGGAAUAUUGCACAAUGGGCGCAAGCCUGAUGCAGCCAUGCCGCGUGUGUGAAGAAGGCCUUCGGGUUGUAAAGCACUUUCAGCGGGGAGGAAGGCGNUAAGGUUAAUAACCUUGUCGAUUGACGUUACCCGCAGAAGAAGCACCGGCUAACUCCGUGCCAGCAGCCGCGGUAAUACGGAGGGUGCAAGCGUUAAUCGGAAUUACUGGGCGUAAAGCGCACGCAGGCGGUCUGUCAAGUCGGAUGUGAAAUCCCCGGGCUCAACCUGGGAACUGCAUUCGAAACUGGCAGGCUAGAGUCUUGUAGAGGGGGGUAGAAUUCCAGGUGUAGCGGUGAAAUGCGUAGAGAUCUGGAGGAAUACCGGUGGCGAAGGCGGCCCCCUGGACAAAGACUGACGCUCAGGUGCGAAAGCGUGGGGAGCAAACAGGAUUAGAUACCCUGGUAGUCCACGCCGUAAACGAUGUCGAUUUGGAGGUUGUGCCCUUGAGGCGUGGCUUCCGGAGCUAACGCGUUAAAUCGACCGCCUGGGGAGUACGGCCGCAAGGUUAAAACUCAAAUGAAUUGACGGGGGCCCGCACAAGCGGUGGAGCAUGUGGUUUAAUUCGAUGCAACGCGAAGAACCUUACCUGGUCUUGACAUCCACAGAACUUUCCAGAGAUGGAUUGGUGCCUUCGGGAACUGUGAGACAGGUGCUGCAUGGCUGUCGUCAGCUCGUGUUGUGAAAUGUUGGGUUAAGUCCCGCAACGAGCGCAACCCUUAUCCUUUGUUGCCAGCGGUUCGGCCGGGAACUCAAAGGAGACUGCCAGUGAUAAACUGGAGGAAGGUGGGGAUGACGUCAAGUCAUCAUGGCCCUUACGACCAGGGCUACACACGUGCUACAAUGGCAUAUACAAAGAGAAGCGACCUCGCGAGAGCAAGCGGACCUCAUAAAGUAUGUCGUAGUCCGGAUUGGAGUCUGCAACUCGACUCCAUGAAGUCGGAAUCGCUAGUAAUCGUAGAUCAGAAUGCUACGGUGAAUACGUUCCCGGGCCUUGUACACACCGCCCGUCACACCAUGGGAGUGGGUUGCAAAAGAAGUAGGUAGCUUAACCUUCGGGAGGGCGCUUACCACUUUGUGAUUCAUGACUGG
rnacentral:rRNA from 1 species